rnacentral:rRNA from 2 species
UACAUAGGGAACUGAAGGCAGACCCGGGGAACUGAAACAUCUAAGUACCCGGAGGAAGAGAAAGCAAACGCGAUUCCCUGAGUAGCGGCGAGCGAAACGGGAUUAGCCCAAACCAAGAGGCUUGCCUCUUGGGGUUGUAGGACACUCUAUAUGGAGUUACAAAGGAACGGGGUAGACGAAUCGAUCUGGAAAGGUCAGUCGUAGAAGGUAAAAACCCUGUAGUCGAAACUUCGUUCCCUCUUGAGUGUAUCCUGAGUACGGCGGGACACGAGAAAUCCCGUCGGAAGCAGGGAGGACCAUCUCCCAAGGCUAAAUACUCCCUAGUGACCGAUAGUGAACCAGUACCGUGAGGGAAAGGUGAAAAGCACCCCGGAAGGGGAGUGAAAUAGAUCCUGAAACCGUGUGCCUACAAGUAGUUAGAGCCCUUUUAUGGGUGAUAGCGUGCCUUUUGUAGAAUGAACCGGCGAGUUACGAUUACAUGCGAGGUUAAGUUGAAGAGACGGAGCCGCAGCGAAAGCGAGUCUGAAUAGGGCGAAAUAGUAUGUGGUUGUAGACCCGAAACCAGGUGAUCUACCCAUGUCCAGGGUGAAGUCCAGGUAACACUGGAUGGAGGCCCGAACCCACGCACGUUGAAAAGUGCGGGGAUGAGGUGUGGGUAGCGGAGAAAUUCCAAUCGAACUUGGAGAUAGCUGGUUCUCUCCGAAAUAGCUUUAGGGCUAGCCUCAAGAUUUAGA